AUGUCACAACGGCUUCCUGACGUGGCAUUUUAAUUGGUAUUGGAGCU
rnacentral:ncRNA from 1 species